AUUGAACGCUGGCGGCAGGCCUAACACAUGCAAGUCGAGCGGUAACACAGGGAGCUUGCUCCCGGGUGACGAGCGGCGGACGGGUGAGUAAUGUCUGGGAAACUGCCUGAUGGAGGGGGAUAACUACUGGAAACGGUAGCUAAUACCGCAUAACGUCGCAAGACCAAAGAGGGGGACCUUCGGGCCUCUUGCCAUCAGAUGUGCCCAGAUGGGAUUAGCCAGUAGGUGGGGUAAUGGCUCACCUAGGCGACGAUCCCUGGCUGGUCUGAGAGGGAAACCAGCCACACUGGACCUGAGACACGGUCCAGACUCCUACGGGAGGCAGCAGUGGGGAAUAUUGCACAAUGGGCGCAAGCCUGAUGCAGCCAUGCCGCGUGUAUGAAGAAGGCCUUCGGGUUGUAAAGUACUUUCAGCGGGGAGGAAGGUGUUGAGGUUAAUAACCUCAGCAAUUGACGUUACCCGCAGAAGAAGCACCGGCUAACUCCGUGCCAGCCGCCGCGGUAA
rnacentral:rRNA from 1 species